UACGUAGGGUGCGAGCGUUAAUCGGAAUUACUGGGCGUAAAGCGUGCGUAGGCGGUUUUGUAAGCCAGAUGUGAAAGCCCCGGGCUUAACCUGGGAAUGGCAUUUGGGACUGCAAGGCUGGAGUGUGGCAGAGGAGACUGGAAUUCCUGGUGUAGCAGGUGAAAUGCGUAGAUAUCAGGAGGAAUACCGAUGGCGAAGGCAGGUCUCUGGGCUGACACUGACGUCUCAUGCACGAA
rnacentral:rRNA from 1 species